UUCAUUAAGAAAAUUUGAGGUGGUGAGAGUUUAUGUGUUAAGGUGUUUAGCCCAUGAUGUGUAAGAUAUUUGUUGUCGGAGUACGUUAAAAACUUAUAAAUUAUUCACGUUACUACAUUUAUUUUUCUUUUGUGUUCUUGACCAAGACCCAGUGAAAGCAAGGAAUUUACUGUAAUUAAAUCGUGGGGGAAAAGUUUAGUCAUAUAAAGCUGACAAUAAAACAGCAUAGAAAUGAAAAGUUGUCUUAUUUGCAUACAUUUAUUAAGACAGAGAUACCUCUCGUGAUUACAAUAAUCGCUAAUUCAUUGUCAAGGACACCACACCUUUCCAUAAAGAAAAAUGUAUGAAUAUCAUUACAUUUGAUGAGAAAGUUUAUCUUACAGAUUUACAUACAUAAUUUCCAAGUCAAGGUCAACCUGCUUUUGCAAACAAUUGGUCACUGUCUUUGAUGAGUUCUGGAGAAUGCGUGCUAAACAAACACUGGGACAUUCAAGGUGGACACAAAAUGGACACGCUAAUCAUUAGAAGCAAAUGAUUACCUUGUGUUUUCAGGCAGAAGCCGAGAUCAGCUUGAGGGGAGCAUUGCUGGAUCUGGUCCACUAGGCGGCGCGCUUGUGCCCUAUUAGCAGUACUAGGGUGUAGCUACUGAUCCUGUACUACAGCAGAGAGAGUGAGAGGGAGGAGGGACAUCAGGUGUCACCGCUCUGAUUCCUCGCAGUCCAAAGCCGCAUCGCCACGACAACCGGCUCCAGGGUCCCUUCCAGGGGUGUAUCGACGCCCGGCGUACACAGGUGUGCAGCCGCCGAUUCGCUCCAGGAUCUGUCCACCAAGCAAGUCCAGCACCAGACCAUUCGCCCCAAUCACCCAUCCACCAUCCAUCCGAACAGCACUUGUCUGGCAAUAUCCAGGAGUCAUCAAGGUUAGUGCACCUUUGGCACGCACAAAUGAUGUGCAGGCAUCGGGAGGAAACUUGUGAAUUUAUAGAUCUGCACUUAAACCAAAUGGCAGAUAAUCUAAUAAUGCAUUACGUAACAGAAAGAUGGAUGGAGGAGGGUAAACCAUUAAAAACUGUUCCUGGUCUCUAGCAGUCGAUAUGGGAAAAACCUUUUUUUUUAAAGGUGGGGACACACACACUUAGAGAUAAGCAGCUCUCUCCCUCAUUUGCAUAUCCACUUUUUCUUCCUUUCAUAUUAGGCUACACACAGCACAGAUUAUAAGAAUCACUGGAUUAAUUUAAAGCUGCACCGUUUUGCUAAUAAUUCAAAUACUGCCAGUGUUGGCGUUUCCUGCAGCUCAUCGGGAAGACGCGGCGAAAAAGACAAAGCUGGGCUAAAUGACUACCAACACCCAGGCCUUAUCACAGCUGUCUGGGUUUUCUGCGUGUGUGCAGAGGAGAAAGAUGAUGCGCAGACUCUCGUGCGUGCGCCGUGUCUUGAAUUUGACAGCCGAGGGUCGGGGAUUACGCUUUUAAUUCACUGUCCUGGAUGGCAUUUUGUCGAGUGGUGGUCGAAAUAUACGGCAGAGAGGAAAAGAGGAUGAUGGGGAGAAUACACAGCUGUACAUUCAAAUAUGACACGCCGGUAAGGGUGUGUCUCAUCGGUGUGUGUGUGUGUGUGUGUGUGUGAGAGACGGUGGGAAAUACGAGAGGGUUUGGCUUUUUUCUGUUGAUCUGAGCGAAAAUAUUAAUUCACAUCUGGACUAAUGUAGCUGAUUGCCUGUUUAAAGCAGCUGAUUGUUGCUAGAAGCAAAAUGAAUUUAUCCUGCAAUUAAUUAAAAUGAGGCAAACCCAACAAGCUCCCAAAAUGUAAUUUAAGAAUUUAAAAAGGGACAGAGGAGGAGGCCCGUUUUGCAGGGGUUUAUCUCAUUUAAAGAGAGUUAGAUAUUUGCUGCUCUUCUAACAAGGAUUUAGAAAUGUGACCCUUAAAGAGAUUGAGUUGGAAUGGCCGGGAUAUAGACGUAAUCUUGUUUUACUAACCUAUUUAAUUUGAAAGAUAUCGAUGUUCACGUUUGAGUCUGGGCAGCACGAGGACAGCUUUCAGCAUGUGUGU
ensembl:lncRNA